rnacentral:rRNA from 1 species
AGUCGAGCGAACAGAUGAGAAGNUUGCUUCUCUGAUGUUAGCGGCGGACGGGUGAGUAACACGUGGGUAACCUACCUAUAAGACUGGGAUAACUCCGGGAAACCGGGGCUAAUACCGGAUAAUAUUUUGAACCGCAUGGUUCAAUAGUGAAAGACGGUUUCGGCUGUCACUUAUAGAUGGACCCGCGCCGUAUUAGCUAGUUGGUAAGGUAACGGCUUACCAAGGCGACGAUACGUAGCCGACCUGAGAGGGUGAUCGGCCACACUGGAACUGAGACACGGUCCAGACUCCUACGGGAGGCAGCAGUAGGGAAUCUUCCGCAAUGGGCGAAAGCCUGACGGAGCAACGCCGCGUGAGUGAUGAAGGUCUUCGGAUCGUAAAACUCUGUUGUUAGGGAAGAACAAAUUUGUUAGUAACUGAACAAGUCUUGACGGUACCUAACCAGAAAGCCACGGCUAACUACGUGCCAGCAGCCGCGGUAAUACGUAGGUGGCAAGCGUUAUCCGGAAUUAUUGGGCGUAAAGCGCGCGUAGGCGGUUUCUUAAGUCUGAUGUGAAAGCCCACGGCUCAACCGUGGAGGGUCAUUGGAAACUGGGAAACUUGAGUGCAGAAGAGGAGAGUGGAAUUCCAUGUGUAGCGGUGAAAUGCGCAGAGAUAUGGAGGAACACCAGUGGCGAAGGCGGCUCUCUGGUCUGUAACUGACGCUGAUGUGCGAAAGCGUGGGGAUCAAACAGGAUUAGAUACCCUGGUAGUCCACGCCGUAAACGAUGAGUGCUAAGUGUUAGGGGGUUUCCGCCCCUUAGUGCUGCAGCUAACGCAUUAAGCACUCCGCCUGGGGAGUACGACCGCAAGGUUGAAACUCAAAGGAAUUGACGGGGACCCGCACAAGCGGUGGAGCAUGUGGUUUAAUUCGAAGCAACGCGAAGAACCUUACCAAAUCUUGACAUCCUUUGANCGCUCUAGAGAUAGAGUCUUCCCCUUCGGGGGACAAAGUGACAGGUGGUGCAUGGUUGUCGUCAGCUCGUGUCGUGAGAUGUUGGGUUAAGUCCCGCAACGAGCGCAACCCUUAAGCUUAGUUGCCAUCAUUAAGUUGGGCACUCUAGGUUGACUGCCGGUGACAAACCGGAGGAAGGUGGGGAUGACGUCAAAUCAUCAUGCCCCUUAUGAUUUGGGCUACACACGUGCUACAAUGGAUAAUACAAAGGGCAGCGAAUCCGCGAGGCCAAGCAAAUCCCAUAAAAUUAUUCUCAGUUCGGAUUGUAGUCUGCAACUCGACUACAUGAAGCUGGAAUCGCUAGUAAUCGUAGAUCAGCAUGCUACGGUGAAUACGUUCCCGGGUCUUGUACACACCGCCCGUCACACCACGAGAGUUUGUAACACCCGAAGCCGGUGGAGUAACCUUUUAGGAGCUAGCCGUCGAG